CUGGGAUAACUCCGGGAAACCGGAGCUAAUACCGGAUAGUUCCUUGAACCGCAUGGUUCAAGGAUGAAAGACGGUUUCGGCUGUCACUUACAGAUGGACCCGCGGCGCAUUAGCUAGUUGGUGAGGUAACGGCUCACCAAGGCGACGAUGCGUAGCCGACCUGAGAGGGUGAUCGGCCACACUGGGACUGAGACACGGCCCAGACUCCUACGGGAGGCAGCAGUAGGGAAUCUUCCGCAAUGGACGAAAGUCUGACGGAGCAACGCCGCGUGAGUGAUGAAGGUUUUCGGAUCGUAAAGCUCUGUUGUUAGGGAAGAACAAGUGCAAGAGUAACUGCUUGCACCUUGACGGUACCUAACCAGAAAGCCACGGCUAACUACGUGCCAGCAGCCGCGGUAAUACGUAGGUGGCAAGCGUUGUCCGGAAUUAUUGGGCGUAAAGGGCUCGCAGGCGGUUUCUUAAGUCUGAUGUGAAAGCCCCCGGCUCAACCGGGGAGGGUC
rnacentral:rRNA from 1 species